rnacentral:tRNA from 1 species
GGGCAGGUAGCUCAGGUGGUAGAGCACCGGACUGAAAAUCCGGGUGUCGGCGGUUCGAGUCCGCCCCUGCCCA